rnacentral:rRNA from 1 species
GACGAACGCUAGCGGCGUGCUUAACACAUGCAAGUCGAGCGGUAAGGCUCCCUCGGGAGUACACGAGCGGCGAACGGGGGAGUAACACGUGAGCAAUCUGCCCUUCUCAUCGGAAUAAGCAUGGGAAACCGCGUCUAAUGCCGAAUACGACCUCCUUUCGCAUGAUCGGAGGUGGAAAGCUCCGGCGGAGAAGGAUGAGCCCGCGGCCUAUCAGCGAGUUGGUGAGGUAACGGCUCACCAAGGCGACGACGGGUAGCCGGCCUGAGAGGGGGACCGGCCACACUGGGACUGAGACACGGCCCAGACUCCUACGGGAGGCAGCAGUGGGGAAUAUUGGACAAUGGGCGAAAGCCUGAUCCAGCAACGCCGCGUGAGGGAUGACGGCCUUCGAGUUGUAAACCUCUUUCAGCAGGGACGAAGCGAAAGUGACGGUACCUGCAGAAGAAGGACCGGCCAACUACGUGCCAGCCGCCGCAGUAAAAC